CAGCUUCCCACAUGUGCUGCCCCGAUCUUCCCAUUGGUGUGUUCAGCAAGAAGGGGCUGGCCCCUUGCAAGUCAUCUUGUGUGCCUCUGACAGAUUAUAUUUUUAAGCAAGAAAACAAAACCAGGAUGUCUUAUGGGCUGCUUUAUCUUUAAGGACAGCUUGGAGCUGCAACUGCAAGGGUGGGGAGUGAGAUGAGCAGGGAGCCAAUUCCCAGCAGCUAAGACCACACCACUGCUGCAAGGAGCAGAAGGCUUCCUCACCUGCCACAUGGAACGGAAAAGAUUUGGAUCAUUUGCAUCAAUCUCCAACCAUUAAUAAUGGUGCUCUGACCAUGGUCUUGAAGGAAUAAUACAAGGACAUUUUCUGACUCAGCAUGGAGAAUAGAGGCUCUCAAGACAUCCAGCAAUGAAGUGGAGUUUGACCUCUGAUGGAUGAAAUCUGCCGGAAUGGAAGCUAAGCUCUUUGAAGAGGAGCAGGUGUCACCGUAUUUUAUAUAUGCCACAUGUCUGGGGACUUCAGAGGAGUCAAAAAAUGCAAAAUAUGAAACAAAGGUAGAAGAACGUGAUUGCCAACUUGAGUUCCAUAAUGUUCUGCUUGAAUCCGAAUGGAGUUCUAUGUCACGGUUAGUAAGCUACCCUGAGACAUCCUUGGAACCAAGCAGGGUUACAGGCCAUGUUACUGCUGCUGCUGCGCCUGAGGUAAAGCAUCUUUGUGGAAAAUUACUGUAUUCUUCAGGGCACAAACCUAAGGACAGUCUUACACACCUGCCCUCACAUGAGGCAUGUUCCUCACUGCUCCUUCCAAGAGAAAGCUCAGCUGAGAAAUCAGAGAGGGUUCAAGAGAUCAGAGUAAUAACACACAAACCAAGUGCGAUCACUUUUUCUGAUUUUGAAUUUUUAUCACAUAGCGCUAACGCUAAACUCCAUAUCUGUGAGGUCACAGACACAGAGGCGUCUUCAUCUGAAGAGGAGGAGGAAGAUGAUGAGGAUGACGUUUUUACAGAGCUGCCACUGUAUGGGGCAUUUUACAAUGGUCUUUAUAAAAGGACUAUUCUCCUUGGGAAACAAGAUAAAUGUGAGCAUACGAGAAGCCAGGAUAUCUGUCAUUUAGAUGGCUGCAAUGAUCACACUGGAAAGAAAUUGAAUGACCAUGAAAAGGAAGAAAAACAAAUGGACAUGGUGUGCCCUGUUAAGGUGGAGACAGGCCUUCUUCACAGAGAUCAUCAGAGAAAGGGAAUCUGUGGGAAUAAGAGGGCAGGCUACCAAGAUUUAGAUGGUUUGCCAAGCUCAGUGUCAACUGGAGCACGACCCAAAACUGAAGUAAGUAGCUAUUGUUUAUAUUACAGCAUAUUCUGGCUUCAAUUCUUUACCACAAGGCUUACUAUUUAUCAUUAAAAUCUUCAUUGUAUUUUUAUUUUAAGCUAAAUACAGUCUAUAAAUAUAAUGCAUCACAACUGUAAAUCUUUUACAAUAAGACUGGCAAGUGUUCCCAAUACAAUAUGACUGAGUAUUCAAGGUCAAGAAUCGGAGUCCCAUCACUAUUUUCUACUAGCAUGUUAUCUGCAUUAUUUUGUUCAUUCACUGUUUAAGAAGAGCUGAAGUCCCUUGGGAGUCUUUCCAUUGAAUUUAACUAGUUGUAGAUCAGGGCUAAAAUUUGAAUCCACAUCUGAAUGUCCCCAAAUUUCAGGACUGUUCAGAUCUGGAGUUUUGGUCUGGGCCCUUUUCUAAUCAGUAGCAUUAAUGUCACUUUGUUUCUUUGCCUGUGAGAUGGUAUAAGCCCUGACCAAAGAGACACCAAUUGCCUUCAACAGACUUUGGAACAGGCCCGUAAUAAGCAAGUAGAUACUGAUAUUUAUGUAGAACUAUGGAAGUAAAGUGAUUCUAAGACCAUGCUCCUAGCUACAAAAUAGCAAAUUGUUUUAUCUGUCGCUUGUAAAUUGCUUUGGUGCCUGCAAUGGUUAAGAUAUUCUCUUUUUGCUAAUGUCAAGUAAAAUAUAUGCAUGUAAGAUACAUUACACAUUGUCUAAGGUGUUUUGAUUCAAGUAAAGGUAUAUCUUCUUAAAGGAAAGAUAAUAACUAUAAUAUGCCCCUUUCUUCAUAGAGUGAAGUUGCAUAGUACUCUGUAAAUUCUAUAUUCCAUUACAGGUUGAAGGUCUGCCACUGUCAUUCAGACUGAAGUUUGAAACAUUGGGGCCCGCCUGUUUGUUGAUUGAAAUACACUAAUGUACUCUCAGGAAAGAUUUUUUCCCUAGUUAAAUAGCUUUCUGCUUCUCUUUUGCAACUGCCCAACUACUUUAGUUUGCUCAAGUUACAUUAGAUCUCAGAAAUCACUAAAGAAAAUGAGAUAUUUGACUGCACUUUACUUAAUUUUUUUUAAGUCAGAUGUUCAAGAAAGCACUGAUAUCUUUGCUUAUGCUUCCUCCCUACCAAUACAAUCUAAAUAACUUUGAAGUGAUGUUACAGUAAUUUUGGUUUUUGGUCUACAAGUGUCUGUGUGUUUGCAGUGGGAGGUGCUGGAAGAGAAGGAAUAAGUGUGAACUUAUCAUCUUAUUCUUCUUUCCUGAUCUCUGCAAUCCCUCCUAGUAUUGUACUUCAAGGAAUGUUGGCAUAAUAAAUACCAAACUCAGAAAACUUCA
rnacentral:lncRNA from 1 species